rnacentral:pre_miRNA from 1 species
UUUAAAGUGUAAGUAUGUCCCAUUCAAUAUUUAAGACAUACUUAUACUAAAA